rnacentral:tRNA from 2 species
UGGGGCAUAGUUUAAUGGUAGAACUCCGGACUCUGACUCCGUCAGUGUUGGUUCGAAUCCAGCUGCCCCAACCA